AGGGGGCAACUCCUCAUCUAGUGGCGAACGGGUGAGUAAUGCAUCGGAACGUGUCCCGUAGUGGGGGAUAACCCGGCGAAAGCCGGACUAAUACCGCAUAUGCUCUACGGAGGAAAGUGGGGGACCAGUAAUGGCCUCACGCUAUGGGAGCGGCCGAUGUCCGAUUAGCUUGUUGGUGGGGUAAUGGCCUACCAAGGCGACGAUCGGUAGCUGGUCUGAGAGGAUGAUCAGCCACACUGGGACUGAGACACGGCCCUGACUCCUACGGGAGGCAGCAGUGGGGAAUUUUGGACAAUGGGGGCAACCCUGAUCCAGCCAUGCCGCGUGCGGGAAGAAGGCCUUCGGGUUGUAAACCGCUUUUAGCCGGGAAGAAAAGGGCGAGGUGCAUACCCUCGUUUUUUGACGGUACCGGCGGAAUAAGCACCGGCUAACUACGUGCCAGCAGCCGCGGUAAUACGUAGGGUGCGAGCGUUAAUCGGAAUUACUGGGCGUAAAGCGUGCGCAGGCGGUUCGCUGUGUCCGAUGUGAAAGCCCCGGGCUUAACCUGGGAAUGGCAUUGGAAACUGGCGGGCUUGAGUGUGGCAGAGGGGGGUGGAAUUCCGCGUGUAGCAGUGAAAUGCGUAGAGAUGCGGAGGAACACCGAUGGCGAAGGCAGCCCCCUGGGCUAACACUGACGCUCAGGCACGAAAGCGUGGGGAGCAAACAGGAUUAGAUACCCUGGUAGUCCACGCCCUAAACGAUGUCGACUGGGUGUUGGGGAAGCGAUUCCCUAGUACCGUAGCUAACGCGUGAAGUCGACCGCCUGGGGAGUACGGCCGCAAGGUUAAAACUC
rnacentral:rRNA from 1 species